ACAUAACUACUCCGAUCUCUAGAAACACAACGUAUCUCUGCCUCCCUCUAUCUAUCUCUCAAAAUUUGUGUUUUCUCAAAGCAAAUGUUACAAAUUUGUUGAUUCGUGAAUCACAUGUCUACCCUAGUUUUCAACCUCGUUCAUUGUGAAUAUCAGGUAUGCCUCAUCUUUUGAGUUGCUCUUUUUCUUCUCUAUGUUCCUGUUCUCCUUCUUCUUUUUCUACUCUAACAUUAAAUUGGUAAAAUGAUUCAUAAUUUUGUUUCUUUUUAUAUAAACAAUAGAAAAAUUAUUGGGUUGGGAUUCCUAAUUUGAUAAAAUUUCUCUGCAGUAUAUUUAUGUUUGUAGUGUAUUGUACGUCUGAAGAAUUAAUAUUCGAAUUGGGGAAAGGCAUAUUCAUAUUUGUUCAUGUUUAUAGUUUGGGGGAAGAUAUAUGGCGCAGGGGGUUGCAAGAAAAUUGUAAAAAGUGAUUAGCAUAAUGUAACCAUCAGAGACCAUGAGACUUUGGAAAAAGCUUCUUAUAUAUUAUACUUACUACUUUAGUUUCUCUUCUUUUCUUUUGUUAUGGAUAUGUUUAGGAAUUUAAGAAGGGAAUUUGACAUAUGGAAGAAUAAGAAUAUAUACAUCUCUAGCAUUUCUACGAAUAUAGUAUUUUAUGACAGUUGUGCAUUUGCUCGUUUCGCUUGUAUCGUAUAGAUCAUGUCAAAAAAAAAGAAGGAAUAACCUCAACAUACCUUAGUUGAUCAUCUUGAGAAUCCCUCUAGCACACGCUUGCGACAAAAUACUUAAUGGCGAGAUCAAAAUUGGAAAUAAUCCCUAUAAUAUUCUUGAAAAAAAUUGCAUCGUACUCCUAUACAACCGUAAGAUUUCAUGUUGCUAAUGUGCUAAGAAAUAUUUGUGGUUGAAGAAAUCAAGUUGUAUCUUUGUAGGAACUUGUAGGAAUUUGUAAGAAAUUGUGUUGCUAAUGUGCUAAAGCUCACGUUUUUAAUACUGGUGGCAAUGUAGACAGGAUUCUUGGGCUUGGAUGGAGCUAUAUUUCAAUUGCUCAUCAAAUUGGUAAACCAUUUUCAUAUUGUAUUGGUAUCACUACUAACCAAACAUUGAUUGUAGGAAUUUGAUUGCAAGACGUUUUUUGAUGAAAACUUGAAGAUUGGCUUAACUUUUCUGAUUGUAUUGCUUGUAUACUGAAUAUGGGGAAUGAAGUGAACGUGUAACUUAACACAUUAUGCCCACCUAAUAAGAAGUGACUAAGAGUCAUUUCCUUAGGAUGUGGCUUGCUGCCACGUAAUCCCUUUGUUGGGGAAUUUAAACUUUAUCCAAUAAUCAAUUUGGUAAUAUUCUAUUAUCCGAUAAUUAAUCAAUUACCCGUUUAAUUAAAAAUUAUCUCAAAUUAAUUAAAAUAUUACUCACUUUUAACACACCUUACUCAAAUCUUACAAUUUCAUGUGCCAUGAAUCUCUUGGUAUACAGAUGAUCUCUUGGUAUCCUCAAAUCUUACAAUUUCAUGUGUCAAGGAUCUCUUGGUAUAAUCAAAGCUUACAAUUCAUGUGCAAGGGAUCUCUUGGUAUCCCGAGGAUCUCUUGCUAUCCUCAAAUCUUAAAAUUUCAUGUGCUAGGGAUCUCUUGGUAUCCCGAGAAUCUCUUGGUAUCCUCAAAUUUUACAAUUUUAUGUGCUGGGGAUCUCUUGGUAUCCCGCACCCUCAGUCCAUAACAUAUCAAGUGCAGGGGGAUCUCCUGGAAGGCCAACCCGUAGUCCCAAUUUAAAAACACACAAUAGCAACCCAAACAUUAGAAAAGAUACUAACUCAUGACAAGAAAUAGAAGAAUACUAGCCAAACAUACUACACGGAGUAAAAACAAGAUAGUUUAAGCACUUAGAUAAGUAUAUCAAUGAACAUGCUUCUCAAAACUAGCAUAGAAUAAACUUACAAUUCAAAAUGAACAGGUAAUCAAGAAAAACUCAAUUUAAAUACUUCAAGUAAAAACGGAUUUCCACAAUUUGCUCAAGUACGCGCUCGUCAACUCACGUACGAGGCAUUCAAUUACCAAACAUCAUAUCCUAAGGGGAAAAUCCCUCACAAAAGGUUAAACAAGCACUUACCUCAAACCAGCUCCAAUUCAACUUGAAACCACACCUUUGCCACGGGUAUCCGACUCCAAAUAGCCCAAAUCUAUUUUCAACCGAACAUUCUUUUUCUUUUAACUCCCCUCGAUCCAUUUAUUAGCUCUUUGGGUUUCCUAACAUUCUUUCUUUACUAGGGAUGUGAGUCAUACUAAGGUAACAUUUAUAUUUCAAGGUUUCUAGUUCCUAUCUUUGUAGUACUCAUAUCUAGCUGUACUAUUUUAGUGUGUACCAUCUGGGUGUCUCAUAAGGAGAUCUAUUAGCACAUUUGCAAUAUCCUUUGGAAAUUGUCAACUAACGCAAACAGUCCGUCCACCAUUUUGGUUUACUCUAACCCCAGUCGGAUCCUGAUAUCCCGUCCUUCUUUUAUAUCAUAUAUAUUAGGGCCCAUAGGGUAUAACUGAGAUCGGUGUGGCCAAUUGUAAAUACCCUUGUUACUGUUGAAGGUAACUCAAAAGACUUAUAUUUCUUUGCCUGAAUUGUAAAUACUUUUAACCUUCAUUAACUGGGCGCCCUAUAUCCUACUUCACCUUGCUUCUUUUACCUGCUGAAACUUGAUUCUACCUUCCGAUUUUGUUAAUCCUUUUUAUCGUAAGAAUGGAUAAACAUUAUUGCCUUAAAUUUCCUUUUCAAGAACCUUACACCUUUAGUACACCCAUGGCCUACUGAAGACCUCACAUUUACUCAUCAUAAGCAUGGGGCAAAAUCGAGUUCCUCUGACUCAACAGUUUCACAUUUAUAUCUCUCACUGAUCGUCUUAUUGAAUAUAAACAUUGUCGUAUUAUAAAUAAGAUAAGAGUUAGGAAUUUGAAUUCUUACAAUUAAACUCUAUUACAUGAUCUAGAGUAAGAAGAAAGAGUGACAAUCCUAAAUUCCCCGUAUCCUCCUACUUAUAAGUGUGGUGCACGAUACAUCUAUAAACAAGAGUCUACUAGACACGGCUUGUAGACUCCCUAGGACGGAACUGCUCUGAUACUACUUUUGUCACAACCCAAACCUAUGAUUUGCAAUGGGCACCCGGUACCUUACUCAACUGAGUACCAACAUAACAUAUCUUUUUAUGUCUUACUUAUCAUAGAUAACUGAGCCAGAAGGUUGCCGUGACAUAAGUAGAAUACAAUAUGUGAUACCAAUUCAUACAUAAGACACGUGGGCCUAUAAAACCAAAAUAAUUAUUCAUAUACUGAACAUAGGAUUACAAAGCCAUACAAUAUUUUACGUACAUAAUAUCUGUAUACAAGUCUCUAAGAAUACAUAAUUUUCAUAAAGGCCGGGACAGAGUCUCGCCAAACCAAACAAUACACGUCUAAAUCAUACUAACCAAAUAAGUAACUCCGAAGCAAAUGCAGCAUACCAACAUCUUUUACUGAGCUGAUAGCCUACUUGAAGGGCUCUUGACCUGUCUAUUGGGACCUGCAGGCAUGAAACACAGCGUCCUCAGACAAAGAGAUGUCAGUACAAAUAAUGUAUCGAGUACGUAAGACACAUAAAUAAGUACAUAACAGACAUGGAAGAAUUAUAUAGUAAAAGAAAUCAACCUGUAAGUUUGGAUAAAUCCAUAAAUUAUGAAAUAAUUAUAGUGUCAUGCAUAUGCAUAUGAAUGUCAUGUCGUGCAUAUGUACAUGUUUCAUAACAUCAUUAGGCCUUUGAGGGCAUCCAUCAUAUCAUCUCGGCCACUAUGGGCAAAAUCAUCUACAUAUACUAACUAAUCAUGUGGCUAUGCGUAAAUAACGCCAUAAACUUUUUCAUAUCCUAUAUAUAUAUAUAUAUAUAUAGCGCCAUGGUCAUGAGCCAAUGUGCAUGUAUAAAUGUAUGAAAUGCAUAUGAAAUACGCUAAUAAAAUCUCUGGGUACGUCAUAAGGCCAUUAUACCUCUAAUUAAUAUCAUGAAAUAAACUUUACCAACUUACAUGUUUUUGAGACCCAUAAAAAUGAUCGAAUAAUAUUACACAUGAAAGAAUAAGGAUAUACACAUUUCUAGCAUUUCUACGAAUAGAGUAUUUUAUGGAAGUUGUGCAUUUGCUCAUUUCGCUUGUAUCGUAUAGAUCAUGUCAAAAAGAAAGAAGGGAUAGCCUUAACAUAACUUAGUUGAUCCUCUUGACAAUCCCUCUAGCACACGUAAAUUGCAACGAAACACAUAACUGCGACAUCAAAAUUGGGAAUAAUAUCUAUGAUGUUCUUGAAAAAGAUUAUACCGUGCUCCUUUAGAACCGUAAAAUUUCGCAUUGCUAAUGUGCUAAGAAAAUCUUGUUGGUUGAAGAAAUCACGUUGUAUCUUUGUAGGAACUUGUAAUAAUUUCUAUGAAAUUAUGUUGCUAAUGUGCUAAAGCUUACGUUUUUGAUUGUGCAAGAAACAAUAAUACUGGUGGCAAUGUAGACAAUUCUUGGGCUUGGAUGGAAGCUAUAUUUCAACUGCUCAUCAAAUUGGUAAAUCAUUUUCAUAUUGUACUGGUAUCAGUACUAACCAAAAAUUGAUUGUAGGAAUUUGAUUGCAGGAAGUUUUUUGAUGAAAACUUGAAGAAUGGCUUAACGUUUCUGGUUGUAUUGCUUGUAUACAAAAUAUAGGGAAUGAAGUGAAUGUGUAACUGACACAUUAUUCCACCUGAUAAGAAAUGACUAAGAGUCAUCUCCUUAGGGUGUGGCUUGCUA
rnacentral:lncRNA from 1 species